rnacentral:rRNA from 1 species
UACGUAGGGGGCAAGCGUUGUCCGGAAUCAUUGGGCGUAAAGCGCGUGUAGGCGGUUCGGUAAGUCUGCUGUGAAAGCCCAGGGCUCAACCCUGGGAUGCCGGUGGAUACUGUCGGACUAGAGUACGGAAGAGGCGAGUGGAAUUCCCGGUGUAGCGGUGAAAUGCGCAGAUAUCGGGAGGAACACCAAUUGCGAAGGCAGCUCGCUGGGACGUCACUGACGCUGAGACGCGAAAGCGUGGGGAGCAAACAGG